rnacentral:misc_RNA from 1 species
CCUAGAGUUGUAGGCUUUGCCUGCUAUCUCUUACCCAUGUCUUUUGAGUACCUUCGUUUCCUCGGCGGGUCCGCCCGCCGAUUGGACAAUUUAAACCAUUUGCAGUUGCAAUCCAGCGUCUGAAAAAACUUAAUAGUUA